AUACUUACCUGGCGUGGAGGUCAACCGUGAUCACAUAGGCGGUUCCUCCAGGGCGAGGCCGGUUCAUUGCACAUGGAAUCGGUUGACCCCUGCGAGUAUCCCUAAUGUGGAUACCUCGGGCGCAGAAUUUUUGUUAGCUGGGACUGCGUACGCGCCGUCCCUC
rfam:Acyrthosiphon pisum strain LSR1 Contig31879, whole genome shotgun sequence.